rnacentral:rRNA from 1 species
AACGAACGCUGGCGGCAGGCUUAACACAUGCAAGUCGAACGCGUGCAGCAAUGCACGAGUGGCGCACGGGUGAGUAACGAGUGGAUAUCUGCCUUUUGGUUCGGAAUAACCCCGGGAAACUGGGGCUAAUACCGGAUGGUUCCUACGGGAUAAAGAUUUAUCGCCAAAAGAUGAGUCCGCGUCCGAUUAGCUAGUUGGUGAGGUAAUGGCCCACCAAGGCGACGAUCGGUAGCUGGUCUGAGAGGACGAUCAGCCACACUGGGACUGAGACACGGCCCAGACUCCUACGGGAGGCAGCAGUGGGGAAUAUUGGACAAUGGGGGCAACACUGAUCCAGCCAUGCCGCGUGAGUGAUGAGGGCCUUCGGGUUGUAAAGCUCUUUUGGCGGGGACGAUGAUGACGGUACCCGCAGAAUAAGCCCCGGCUAACUUCGUG